rnacentral:misc_RNA from 1 species
GAUGAAGAACGCAUCGAAAUGCGAUAAGUAAUGUGAAUUGCAGAAUUCAGUGAAUCAUCGAAUCUUUGAACGCACAUUGCGCCCGCCAGUAUUCUGGCGGGCAUGCCUGUUCGAGCGUCAUUACAACCCUCAGGCCCCCGGGCCUGGCGUUGGGGAUCGGCGGAAGCCCCCUGUGGGCACACGCCGUCCCUCAAAUACAGUGGCGGUCCCGCCGCAGCUUCCAUUGCGUAGUAGCUAACACCUCGCAACUGGAGAGCGGCGCGGCCAUGCCGUAAAACACCCAACUUCUGAAUGUUGACCUCGAAUCAGGUAGGAAUACCCGCUGAACUUAAGCAUAUCAAUAAGCGGAGA